GUCUUCCCUUCCCUGCAAUGCAACUCUAUAAAAAUAUGCACUUCUAGUGAAUUAGAGAGAGAGACACAGAGAGAGAGAGAGAGAGAGAGAGAGAGAGAGAGAGAUGCCGGGUUGGGGACCGCCGCCGGGAGGACCUCCAGGGCCGGCAGGGCCAUGUGGUUGCUGUGCUUUCUGUUGUGAUGGAAUUUUCAGGCUUUUUUCUUCAUGUUUCUAUCUCUUGUGCUGCUGUUGCAUCCUAGAGACCUGCUGUGGACCUGUGUUUGGUGGGCCACCUGGACCCCCUGGCCCACCUGGCGGGCCCCCUGGACCUCCCCCGCCUUGGUAGAUAGAUCAUGUGUAUGACAUAUCGAUCCCGAGUACAUUUUAUGCAUAUACCAUAUAUCAACCUAGCUACCUACUUGAAAUUUGAGAUGAUGUUGUAUUAAUUUGUUGAAACAAUCGCUUCCUAGGUAUUUCACUGUUUGCCCUCUUUUAUGCUUAUUCUGUGUGUAAACAAGUUGUUGCUUUAGGGUUUUCUUUAUGCCAUUUUAGCUUCUUUUUUUCUUUCUACUGUUAUGGUAUUUAUGACUUGGGUUUGUAUUAGA